UUCAAGCAAGUCCCUCCCACACCACCAUUGAGUGGUCAUCUUGGGCUGGAGUGUCUACAGAGACUUGCAAAGAGACUUCUGUGAUGAAAUGAGUUGAGGACCUGGCUACUGGAGACAUCCAGAUAACUGACCAGAGCUUCUACUUCCUGCUUCAUGGACUUUUGAUUCACCUUGAAGCAAUCUGUCAAAGCUUGGCAUUGCUAUCUGGGGAACCGCCCUCAUGCUGUCCAACACUGAAACUUGAGAGCCUGUGGACUUCUCACAUGACCCUUCCACAUCACAGGCUGAGGAGGACUUCCACACUGACUGACCUAGGGCUCUGGGCUCCCUCUCCUUGCAAGCACCAGACAUUAGGCCUAUGUCUGCCUGGGCACUGCUGGAGGGCUCCAUCUCCCUAGUUGUCCAAGUCUGGACCUGCUGGGCUGGCUUGAGGACGUCCUCUGGCCUUGACUCUUCUUCCUGAGGCUGCUCUGCUGUCCAGCUUUUGUAGAGUUCUUCUAGCAGGAACUUAUACUCUUCUGGAGACAGGAGACAAUCCUCUUCCCCUUGAGCCUGGCUGCCUGAACCCUCUGUUCCUCCUGCUUGGAUUUCUGGGACAUGCCUCUCAGGGU
rnacentral:lncRNA from 1 species